UACGAAGGGGGGCUAGCGUUGCUCGGAAUUACUGGGCGUAAAGGGCGCGUAGGCGGAUGUUUAAGUCAGAGGUGAAAGCCCAGGGCUCAACCUUGGAACUGCCUUUGAUACUGGACAUCUUGAGUGUGGGAGAGGUGAGUGGAACUCCGAGUGUAGAGGUGAAAUUCGUAGAUAUUCGGAAGAACACCAGUUGGCGAAGGCGACUCACUGGCCCAUUACUGACGCUGAGGCGCGAAAGCGUGGGGAGCAAACAGG
rnacentral:rRNA from 1 species